UUUAAUAAAACAUUUAAUAAAACAUAUAGCAAAUUGCGAAUGUAUAACACUUGGAACAUAUUAUGCACAUUUAUGUCUUUAAUGAGGUAAAACAAAAAUCUAUGAUAGAUUUAUUUCCGUAGUAUGUCGUAUCAAAAUGAAAAUAAUGACACUUGAUGAACAAAUUUCUGAAACUGUCCUGUAUAUUCUCCAAUUAGCUUUAAAACAUAAUAAAGUUAUAGAAUAUCAAAUUGUAAAGUUCUGUCAACUUGAACUCUCAUGAUCAUCUAGAGGUUUUGUCAUGUGAUUGCACUGAUGACAGCCGUGACAUUUUAAGAGCCGGCGCCAGCGCCACCAGAAUCCAUAGUCUCGAAAACCAUCACAUCC
rnacentral:lncRNA from 1 species